UUUUUUGUAUGCUAUACUAAUAUGCUUGUGGCUUUAGAGUUUCUUUGGUAAGAAGAAUAAGAUAUCCAUGACUAGGAGAAUUCAGCCAAAACACUGUUCCUGAAGCAGGCUGAUCUGUGAGACUUAACAAGUUGUGCUGGGGUUUGGAGUUGUGGGUCUCCACUGGACAAGUCUAUGGGAUGGUGUGGAAGUCUUCCCAUGGUGUUUCAUGAUCUGGAGCUCUGUGGAUCAUGUGAGAAUGGAGAUGGGGAAAGUGAAGCUCUUCCAGAGGAAUGGGACACCCUCAACACUGCGUCUGUAAUGUGGAACAAAGAUCUGGUUUGUAUGUUGAU